rnacentral:rRNA from 1 species
AGAGUUUGAUCAUGGCUCAGAUUGAACGCUGGCGGCAGGCCUAACACAUGCAAGUCGAGCGGUAACAGAAAGUAGCUUGCUACUUUGCUGACGAGCGGCGGACGGGUGAGUAAUGCUUGGGAACAUGCCUUGAGGUGGGGGACAACAGUUGGAAACGACUGCUAAUACCGCAUAAUGUCUACGGACCAAAGGGGGCUUCGGCUCUCGCCUUUAGAUUGGCCCAAGUGGGAUUAGCUAGUUGGUGAGGUAAUGGCUCACCAAGGCAACGAUCCCUAGCUGGUUUGAGAGGAUGAUCAGCCACACUGGGACUGAGACACGGCCCAGACUCCUACGGGAGGCAGCAGUGGGGAAUAUUGCACAAUGGGCGCAAGCCUGAUGCAGCCAUGCCGCGUGUGUGAAGAAGGCCUUCGGGUUGUAAAGCACUUUCAGUCAGGAGGAAAGGUUAGUAGUUAAUACCUG